rnacentral:tRNA from 1 species
GGGACAGAAGCUCAGUUGGUUAGAGCACCGCUCUGAUAAGGCGGGGGUCACAAGUUCAACUCUUGUCUGUCCCA